rnacentral:lncRNA from 1 species
UCAGUGGCGGCAGAAACUACGCCGCCCACGCCAAAGAACUCGGCAACGCCGUCCCCAAGGUCCCCUCUUUUCUUCUCUUUCCACUCUUUUCUGCAUCUCAUUUUCCGUCUCAAUUUCCAAUCUUGAUUCGGAUGAUCCGUGAAGGAGCCUGUGCUUUUUCUCAAACCGACGUCUUCUUACUUGGAAAACGGAGGCACCAUUGAAAUCCCUCACCCUCCGGAGUCGUUGGACCAUGAGGUGGAGGCGUGGAGCUGGCUGUCAUCAUAUCCAAGAAAGCUCGCGAUGUUCCUCAGGCCAAGGCCAUGGAUUACGUUGGUGGUUAUGCACUUGCUCUUGAUAUGACUGACAGAGAGAUUCAAGCUACU